rnacentral:rRNA from 1 species
UACGAAGGGGGCUAGCGUUGCUCGGAAUCACUGGGCGUAAAGCGCACGUAGGCGGGUCGUUAAGUCGGGGGUGAAAUCCUGGAGCUCAACUCCAGAACUGCCUUCGAUACUGGCGAUCUUGGAGUCCGGGAGAGGUGAGUGGAACUCCGAGUGUAGAGGUGAAAUUCGUAGAUAUUCGGAAGAACACCAGUGGCGAAGGCGGCUCACUAGCCCGGUACUGACGCUGAGGUGCGAAAGCGUGGGGAGCAAACAGG